GGGACUACUACCAAGAGGCCGGCGCCUUCUUCAACCGCACCGACAACACCCUCCUCGCCAUAAAAGAAAGGCAAACGCAACAUAUGGACGACUCCUGGAACAGCAACAAAAGUGGAACCAGGACCACGCUGCUGCGGUACAAAACAUAAGGUGAGACACCACGACGAUGAACGACAACAUCACCACCAUGAUGCGGUUCUGGAACAUUGAGUAAGACUGACAUAGCCACAUCCGGCUUGGGGG
rnacentral:lncRNA from 1 species